rnacentral:lncRNA from 1 species
ACGAAAGUGAAGAGGGAUGCUUCAGCAAGCACAAUUCAAGAAGAGUGCCAAAGCAGGUGGGUUGUCAAGGUAACUGUGAUCUGCCCACCUUUAUGACAUCUUUUGCGGCUGCUUUAAAAGUCACCAACCAGAGGUGUCCAGGGUGGGAUCAAGGAGAGAGUAAAUCUGAUUAUGGGAGAACGAGUUUGUACAUGCAGGAGUGGAGGUUUUGUUUUUUGGUUUGCUCUGUUACUUAUAUUUUUUUUACCUAUAUUUUUUUUCUAUUUAAUAUUUAUCUUGUAGCUUUAUACCUUCGUAUUUCAUGUUUUAUUAGAUAGCUAGGGGUAGGAUUGGGAGUUGAGGCAGCUUAAGUCGGAUAUGUAGGUAGGUGAAAUAUAUUUAGGUAUUUUUUUUAAGAGCGGCUCUUGCGAGAAGACAAGCUUCAUAAUCUUAAAAAAGGUAAGGAGGAUUUCUUCUGCUUCUACUUGUAUCCUGGGGUUAAGAGCCCAGGAUUCCCGCCCUGGCCCUUGGCGGCUGCCAGGCCAGUCGCUCGGCUGAGUCCAGUACCUACUGACCAAGAGACCUGUAGGACUCUCUAUAGCAGGCGCCCCCAAACUCGGCCCUCCAGCUGUUUUGGGACUACAAUUCCCACCAUCCCUGACCAUUGGGUCCUGUUAGCUAGGGAUGAUGGGAGUUGUAGUCCCAAAACAGCUGGAGGGCUGAGUUUGGGGAUGCCUGCUCUAUAGCCUUUAUGUUGGUAUCUCUACACAAGACACAUGGAGUGAGGGAUGAACCACACCCUCCCAACUACACAGGUCAAGUCACUGCCCCAACUCUCCACCCAAAGCAAAAAUGAGCUGGAAGCAUGCAAUAAUCCCACAAGUACCCCGUUAAUUGGAUUAACGACGCCAGGAUGUCUGUGUUAGUAGUUCCUGAUUGUUCCGACUGGCCAUUAUAAACUGGACAUGAUAAUCACGAUGCUGUACUUUUCUGACCUUGCUUUCACCAUUCUGCCCAACCAGGUAUCCAUCCACCCAUCCAUAUCUACAGACAGACAGAUACCUACCUACCUACCUACCUAUCUAUAACUUAUGAUAACAUUCCAUGCAACUGAAGAAGUAAAUUUAUGGAUGCCAUAAUUAAAUUGGCUAGUCUUUAAGGCACUACAAGGCCUCUUUCCACUACACCCACCCAAUCCAAAAAGGCCCACUAACAAAAUAAACACCCCUUCGAAGUACCACUAAGUUUUUUGUUUCAAUUUUUUAUAAAUUGUGUAACUUACCAUUCUUCUGCAAGGUAAUUUACUCCCAUUGAGGAUAAGCCCUCUACAGAUCCUUUAAUUCUGAAAGAAGCACGAGACAAAAGAGAAAGGAAAAGUUAAAAAGGAUGAAGAAUGCUAAUAAGCUUGGCCCAUCAUCCCUGUCCCAUCAGCUAUGCUGGCUGGAGCCAAUGGGAACUGGGAGUACAAUGGUAUCUGAAUGGGCACAUUUCUCCCACCCCUGUGCACAGCUUGCCUCCCAGACAUUAUGACCUGUUAGGUGAGAUGGGGUCCAGGUAGCGAUGUAGAAGAUGACCAUGAAGGCCAGACCUAGGCCUCUUGAGGAUGGGUGCGAAGACCCCAAAAAGCAUUAGCCCGCAAGACUAGCAUCACACCCAGUACUGACUGCCUCUCUCCACCAGCUUAGGCAGGAGCCGUGCACUAGCAGAAUUCUAAACACCUCAUUUUUAAGUGAAUCAUCCUAGAACUGUACAGUUGGAAGGGACCCCAAGGGUUAUCUAGUCCAAUCACUGCAAUGCAGGUAAAGGGUAAAGGGACCCCUGACCAUUAGGUCCAGUCGCAGACGACUCUGGGGUUGCAGCACUCAUCUCACUUUAUUGGCCGAGGGAGCCAGCGUACAGCUUCCAGGUCAUGUGGCCAGCAUGACUAAGACGCUUCUGGUGAACCAGAGCAGCGCACGGAAACGCCGUUUACCUUCCCGCUGGAGUGGUACCUAUUUAUCUACUUGCACUUCAUGCUUUCAAACUGCUGGGUUGGCAGGAGCAGGGACCGAGCAACGGGAGCUCACCGUUGUGAGGAUUCAAACUGCCAACCUUCUGAUCGGCAAGCCCUAGGCUCUAUGGUUUAACCCAUAGCGCCACCCGCGUCCCCUGAAAUGCAGGAAUCUCAGCCAAAGCAUCCAUGACAGAUGGACAUCCAACCUCUGCUUUAAAAUCUCCAAGGAAGGAGAGUCCACAAACUCUAGAGGGAGACCGAUCCUUUUUCGAACAGAAAGUGUUUUCCCUGAUGUUUAGUCAGAAUCUCCUUUCCUGUAACGUGAAGCCAUUGGUUCAAGUCCUCCCCCUCCAGAGCUGGAGAAAACAAGCUUGUUCCCUCUUCCACGGGACAGCCCCUGAUAUUUUUGAAGAUGGCGACCAUAUGGCAAUUACUGGCAGGAUCCAUAGGGUGCAUUUCUCCCCUAUCUUCUCACUAAAGGUCCUUUAUUCUGCUCCUAUUGCUGCAGAAAACGUCAGCCUGCAAGGAGAAAUCCUCAAAUUCUCCAGCAGCUGCUUGCUUUUGUGUGCCCUCCUGUGGUGAGCUAAAGGUACUACCAUGGAAAAAAAUCAGACACAAAACUGACAAGUAAAAUAAAUUCUGUAGUCAUGUCUGUAUUCCAUCACAAGGCAUCUAAAGAGGCAGUAAUCAGGUGUCCCCGACGGGACUUCUCACCUCUUCGUAGGGCCUUUCUAAAACCCUUUCUAAAAAAAGAGUGAGGUAAACUUACCUGGAGAUUUAGAGCAGUAAAUUAAAAUAGAAUGACAGAAAGAAAACAAUGGGUUGGUACCAAAGCAAGUUGAUUUGUUAUGUGGCCUUAGUGCACCGAUAGGUUCAACACUAUUUAUUUUUAAUUUCAAGCUGUAGUGAGUUGCCGUCUGGAUGCAAAUAGGAAACCUGCUUAAAACUGGUUCAGUCAGGAAUUGUGGGUAGGAAGGUGGAAAUAUCUAAAUUAAUGGUUCUUAUUAGCCUGAGUAACACAGAGUUAGAAACAAAAGAGGAAUGUAAAUGGAUAAAAUUGAUGGUAAUUGCAGCCAGACAGGUUAUAGCGAGUAAUUGGAAAAAUGCAGAAGAGCUAGGGGUGAACCAAUGGAAGGAAAAAUUGAAAAAUAUUAUAAUCUUAGAAUAUCUUAACUGUGAAGAUACAUAACAUGAAAGGGUUUAAGGUCAGUGAGAAGGAGGAGGCUUGGUUUGAGAAUAAAUUGAAUUAUUUGGGCAGGUUUGAACAAUUUGGGGCAAUUAAAAUGUUAAAAGUUAAAUAAACCUUGUGGAGGGAGAAGUGUUAAGGUAUAUGGAAUUGUACAUAUGGUUGUUCUGAAUAUGUUAUUAUUGAUUAUGUAAACCCAAUGUAUCAGCCGCCUGGGGGUUUUCACUGUUUGUUUUUUUACCAACAACCAAAACACAACCAAACUGGUUCAGCGCCCCCCAAAUCUAAUAAAAAUUAUAGUGUGUGUUGUCCCUUUUCCCAAUAGAGCAUCUCAGACUAAGGACCAGAAACAGGAAGCCAGUCUGAGCAGUGGCCCAUCAGAAAAAAGGUAACCAAAGAUAAAAUCACACUGCGGUUAGAAGAGGGUUCUUCACUCCUCCUGGUAACCCUCCCCACCUAUAUAAUAUAUACAUUCUUAUAUUCCCUGCAGGCCAGGGUGCACACAUACAUCUUUCUAGAUAUGCAGUUGGCUAGCAGCUCUCUGGCAGCCACAGAAUUCUUGGUUGCCUAGGAGGCCCAGGCAAGUCCUCAAAUGCAAGGUUUUCCAGCUUACCUCUCGGUCGUGGCCAUCUGUGUGUGCUUUUAGCCUGGGCUUUCCCGUUUUGUCUCUCCUGAAAAGCAAGCGCAGGUCACUUCGUUACAUUCCUCCAUCGCUAUCUUUUGAGGGGGGUGGGAGAGGAAUCUGAACACUGGAAAAAUAGCAGCAAAACUGACCAGCUGCAGUGUUUUGAAAUACCGUAUUUUUCGCUCUACAGGACGCAACCGGCCAUAGGACGCACCUUGUUUUAGAGGGGGAGAAGAGAGAAAAAAAAUCUCCCCCUCUCUGCUCAGCGCCCCUUCAGCGAAGCGGCAGGAGAACUGGAACCCCUUCCAUUUCUCCUCCCGCUUCGCUGAAGGGGCGCUGCGCAGCUCUCCCUCUCUGCUGAAGCCAGGAGAGUCUUGCUCUCCCGGCUUCAGCAAAAGGAACCUGAAGCCUCCGGAACGCAGCGGGAACUCACGCUGCGCUCUGAAGGCUUCAGGCGGCUAUCCCUGAAGCCUGGAGAGCGAGAGGGGUCAGUGCGCGUCGACCCCUUUCGCUCUCCAGGCUUCAGCGAAAGCAACGCGUAGCCUCUGGAGCGCGGAGGGAGCGCUCCCACUGCGUUUUGGAGGCUUCGCCUUGCUAUCGCUGAAGCCAAGGAACCUGCAUUCGCUCCAUAGGACGCACACACAUUUCCCAUUAAUUUUUGGAGGGGAAAAAGUGCGCCCUAUAGAGCAAAAAAUACGGUACAUUGGGUGAAUGACAGGUGCCCCACCACACCUGGCUAGUCCUUGCUGUGCUGGAAAGUUUCAGGAUUCCACCCCUUCCUGCCACCCCGCUCUGCUCCCCAACGUAAGAAAGCACAGAUGUCUUAAAGGCAGCAAGAACCCUUUGGAAUCUCUCCUGCUACAUUUAAGGGCCUUCUCAGUGAUGGCUCCAACCUGGUGGAAUGCUCUGUCCCAUGAGACUAGGACCCUUCAGGAUUUAACCUCCUUCCAUUGGGCCUGUAAGACAGAGCUAUUCCGCCUGGCCUUUAAUUUGAAUUCAGCCUGAUCUUUUAUUUCCCUUCUCUUCCUUCCCCCCUCCCCUUUUAUGAAGAUCACCCGCUCCGAUACCCCACAGCUAAUUCUCCCCUGGCUCCUCACUGGCCCAAGUAGGACCAAUUCAGCCAGCUAGCCCUGAGGAUUAUCUAAUAGAUUUUUUAUUUUUAUUGUCAUUCAUGUUUUUAUACUGUAUUUUAUGCUGCUUUUAUAAUUGUUUUAAAGUGUUUUAAAUUUGUUGUUAGCUGCCCUGAGCCCGGUUUUUGAACCGGGAAGGGCGGGGUAUAAAAAUUUAUUAUUAUUUAUUAUUAUUAUUAUUAAAAUGUUUCAUCCCAUCUUUACCCCGAGCAAACAAGCCCUGCUCCUGAAUGGAGUUCCCCACACUGUCAAUGUGUCCUUCUGAUCUUCCAAAGGGUCCAUCGUUCUUCCUUAUUAACACAAUGAUCUUCAACUGUUUUCUCUAUCCCCUUCAGCCCUUCAUCUUUGGCCUAAGGAUUGAGCUGCUUUGCAAAACGGUUCUGAAGAUAAGAGGUGAUGAGGGACACAGAGACCGGCCUUUCCGAAGCUGCUGUUAAGAGAAAGAAAAUUUCCCACGUACAAUACGAUGCUUGCAGCUUAGAAGAUGAGACACAGAUAGUCAGACAACUGAAGAUGGCACAGAAAAGAUCUGGAUUACAUGCUACAGAGAUCUGUACAACCCUGUUAUCGUGCUAUGUUUUAAUUUCAGAAUCUGCCCCUUGCUAUUUGAAAAAGUGUCCUGGAAACAGCUGAAAACGAUGCACCUUUAAAACCGCAAAAACUGUAACAAAGCAGUGAACCAAUCUAAUUCCCUUGUCCCAUCCUUUUGUCAGGAACAGACCUACUUCACACAAACUUUAAUUCCUUCUGAAUGGCCACAAGAAUACAGUGGUACCUCGGGUUACAUAUGCUUCAGGUUACAGACUCCGCUAACCCAGAAACACUACCUCGGGUUAAGAACUUUGCUUCAGGAUGAGAACAGAAAUCGCGCGGCAGCAGCCGGAGGCCCCAUUAGCUAAAGUGGUGCUUCAGGUUAAGAACAGUUUCAGGUUAAGAACGGACCUCCGGAACGAAUUAAGUACGUAACCAGAGGUACCACUGUACAUUGAUUUUCAGUAUUCUUUAGACACAUUAACAAACACACAAUACAUUUAUUAGUGGAUGACAUCUUGCUGAUUCUUUCCAACCUGGCAGAAGCAACCCUGUGUUGAAGACGAUACUAGCAGAGUUUGAAAACAUUGCAAAUCUAGGAACUGAUGACAUUAAGUCUGAGAUAAGGUGCCUCAAUAUCCCCCAUGAUCUGGCAAAGGCACCUUCAGAAUAUGUUUUACAUUGAAAAUAAAUAGCUUUGAAUAUUCAGGUUUACAAGUUCCCUGAAGGAAUUCUGGGUGUUGAGUCAUGUUCCUGGAAUUUAAAUAUUUGCUGGCUAGAUGCAAGGACCAUUGUAAGGAUG